rnacentral:lncRNA from 1 species
GGGUAGCGCGAAGAUUCAUAGGAGGUUAAGAGAGGUUGAGUCCGUGGAGUCGGUAAUCACCUUGUAAUCUUUUCUCUUAGUGAAUUAUUUUUUCGCGUGUUAGUCCCGUGGGUUUUUCUCCAAGUUGGAGUUUUCCCACAUAAAUCUCGGUGUGCUUUUUAUUUUUCGCAUUUAUUUUUAUUGCAUCGAGAUUUGUGGUUUUUGGCCGUUCACCUAUUCACCCCCCUCUAGGUGAUAGAUACAAUCUAGAUAGAUCCUUGGGC